rnacentral:lncRNA from 1 species
GUAUAAACAGUUCAAGCGUAGAAACCCUAAAACCAGAAGUUGUUGGUGCCAAGCUCGUAAUGGGAAAGGUUUCAUUUUCAAUGGUUAUGAAAGUACUCGUCAUGACCAUCCUAAUUUCCAAUAUUAUGUUUGGUAAGCAUUUCCUGUAUAUAUCUAUGCUCCGUAGCUCAUAUUUCAAUUAAAACUAAAACAACAUUUGCACUUGCUUAAUCUGUGUAUGCGUGAAUGUAUAUGAACAAAAUUUUCUAAGAAAAAUUUAUAUUUGUUGAAGUGCCAACUACAUAUGCAAGCGGCAGAGCAAGCAAUAAUGAUCGUGGGGAGCAACCAGGUCACGCAACCUAUUGCGAGAAGAACGAUGAUUGCAUAGCAUUUUGUGCUUUCUUCUUGCUUGGGAAAAGCUGUGGUUGUAAUGUACAAACAGGACAAUGUUGUUGUAAAAAGUCACCAACCUGAUUAUUAGGAAAAUAGGAUCUGAGAAUUGAGAAUAAGUGUUGCAUAGCUUUAUCUUCUUAUUGCUUUUG